rnacentral:rRNA from 1 species
CACGUAGGGUUCGAGCGUUGUCCGGAUUUACUGGGCGUAAAGAGCGCGCAGGCGGUCGUUCAAGUCGCGUGUGAAAGCCCCCGGCUCAACUGGGGAGGGUCACGCGAUACUGAUCGACUGGAAGGCAGGAGAGGGUAGUGGAAUUCCCGGUGUAGUGGUGAAAUGCGUAGAUAUCGGGAGGAACACCGACGGCGCAGGCAGCGUCCUGGCCGCUUGCUGACACUGAGGCACGAAAGCUGGGGGAGCAAACAGG